UACGAAGGGUGCAAGCGUUACUCGGAAUUACUGGGCGUAAAGCGUGCGUAGGUGGUUUGUUAAGUCUGCUGUGAAAGCCCCGGGCUCAACCUGGGAAUGGCAGUGGAUACUGGCAAGCUAGAGUGCGGUAGAGGGUAGUGGAAUUCCCGGUGUAGCGGUGAAAUGCGUAGAGAUCGGGAGGAACACCAGUGGCGAAGGCGGCUACCUGGACCAGCACUGACACUCAGGCACGAAAGCGUGGGGGAGCAAACAGG
rnacentral:rRNA from 1 species